rnacentral:rRNA from 1 species
CCUACGGGAGGCAGCAGUGGGGAAUAUUGCACAAUGGGGGAAACCCUGAUGCAGCGACGCCGCGUGAGUGAAGAAGUAAUUCGUUAUGUAAAGCUCUAUCAGCAGGGAAGAAAAUGACGGUACCUGAGUAAGAAGCCCAGGCUAACUACGUGCCAGCAGCCGCGGUAAUACGUAGGGGGCAAGCGUUAUCCGGAUUUACUGGGUGUAACGGGAGCGUAGACGGCAGUGCAAGUCUGGAGUGAAAGGCGGGGGCUCAACCCCCGGACUGCUCUGGAAACUGUACGGCUGGAGUGCAGGAGAGGUAAGUGGAAUUCCUAGUGUAGCGGUGAAAUGCGUAGAUAUUAGGAGGAACACCAGUGGCGAAGGCGGCUUACUGGACUGUAACUGACGUUGAGGCUCGAAAGCGUGGGGAGCAAACAGGAUUAGAUACCCGAGUAGUC